UACUGAAUCCUUUUAUACCAUUUUAGAUCUAUUGGUUUUUUACCAGAAUCAUCUGCCAACACGAUGCACUAAUGCACUCUCUAUAAGCUCAAGUGACAAAAAGUAUCACUUGGCGUCUAACGUUUCAUACAGCGGCAAUCUGAGUCAUCUCAAAGGACCCGAAUGUGGCUAAUGAUUCUCAGAAAUACGGCUCAGACCCUCAGGCCAACUCAUACAUGAAAGGAAACUCGGAGAGAGGAAAGCACUACACUGCCACCACAAGAGAAAUAAUUAUGGACAGGUUCCUUCACUCCUUGACAAAUAAGCCUAUAAAUGGAGGCCGGGAACUCCUGUCCUGCUGUCCCAUGGAGAAAUAAAGCCACAGCAGACGCCGCAGUCGAAAUGUGGAGUCCAGACUCAUCCAGAUAAGACAAUAAAAACAGAGCCGGACUGUCUCUGUACAAAUGACCAGAGAUAACAUGAGGAAAUAAACUCACUCAGCGUAUAUACAGUACGGUACAGACACACUGCACUGUAUGUAACUGUGUCACACAGUCUGACUGCAGUACUUAUAUUUUUGAGAUAUUUCAUUUGUCAUCGACUUGCUCAUUCUUGCUCCUUCACAGCUCAUUUAGCAACCACUUUUGUUUGUUUGUUUGUCACUCAACAUUGACUCCAGAUACCCGUUAUACUCAUAUUUACACAUACCAACUACUGCAUAAUAGCUCUCACCAAACACUAAAAGCCAGUGUUCAAAUAAUAUGCAAGUGUCAAAUAAUACUCAGUAGUGCCUCAGUAGUGGAACCUAUAAUGGAUCACAUGGUAAAAUCAUCAUAAUGUACAUAUCAGCUGUUCCAAUGAUCGAUAGGUGGCUGUAAUGCACCAAAACCGCAGCAAUGUGCCAACAAAGGCAGGAAAGAACAAGACUGCAAGCUGGUAAACAGAUGUAAACAAUGCAGAAUUUAAAAUAAAUCUUUAAAAAAAUGGCUUUACAGAUGUUUUUUGAGGAAGGAAAUACUUCUGUUACACCGUGUUAGACCUCAAAGGGCCUCCACAUGUCCCCUUUAACUAAUUCUGACUGAUUUCCCUCAAUGUCAGGCUGCUGAUAAUAAAACUCAAGACCUCCUGCUGAUGUUUCAUAUUAAUAUCCUUCCAGGAAAGACAAGUGUCAACCCGUCAUAACAUCCAUAAACUUAUUAUCAUUAUUGUGAGUGAACAUAAGAGCAAACAUCAGCAAGACUUAAAAUGUUAAUGAUUGUUAUGUCAUGCCAUUUACAAUUUUCUGCAGUAUUUCCACAUUGCUAAACUGUAGUUAUGAAUAAACUCCUGUAUUAUUAAAUACAGUCAACUCAAUAAGUUGAAAAGGAUGAUUUUUAGUUUUGUUUUAUCUGCUCACAGAAUCCAGAGGCUGACUGUGGGUCAAGCCUGAGAGGUGAUUAACAGUCCAGCCUCCACGGACACAAAUGAAGAAACUAAUGAAUUCCAUUAGGAUUUAGCAAAUGGCCUCUGUCAAGGAGUAGCGACCGAGGAAUCUAUGCGAGUGUGUUCGUAUGUGAGAGUGCAUGUGUGCAGGUGUUUAAUCACUUGGCAACUUUUAAUUAAAGUCUACGAGAUUACCUCAAGCAAACGGAGUAAAAAUCUGAAACACUUAGACCUUAUUUGGUAUCAAAGUAUGGCUUAAUGGCCGCUGGAGUACUGUUGCCGAGGAAUACAAUGAAUUAGUCCACUGCCUUUCAAGCUCUGUUUUAAAUCCAGUCACACUUCACUGGCAAGAGAACAACAGCCCUCACAGAGCAGAGCCAUGCAUUUCAAUUUAGAGCUCUUUGGCCGGUUUAAAUUGCUCACCAGUUAUUCUCUGUCUCACCAGUUCAACCUCUUUUAGCAAACUGUAGGACCUGAUUACUGCCAGGGGUGGACUAUAGGAUAUAAUGACAGAAGCAGGUCUGGGGAUGUGCUUUUAGGGUUUGCUAAAGUAUGCACAGGCAGUCUGUCGCCAGGGCUGAGUAUGUGCAAAAUGUUUAUUGAUAUACUCAGCAGUUACCUACAUUUUAAGAUGUAUCACAAAUUAAAAAAACACCUCCGACUGGUAUUGAUGCUCAGUUACUGUUACACAUACUAGACAUACUUAGAUGAGCGUAAA